GACGAACGCUGGCGGCGUGCUUAACACAUGCAAGUCGAGCGGUAAGGUCCUUUCGGGGGUACACGACGCGGCGAACGGGUGAGUAACACGUGGGUGACCUGCCCUCAGCUCUGGGAUAGGCCUGGGAAACCGGGUCUAAUACCGGAUAUGACUCCAUGACGCAUGUUGUGGGGUGGAAAGCCUUGUGCGGCUGAGGAUGGGCCCGCGGCCUAUCAGCUUGUUGGUGGGGUGAUGGCCUACCAAGGCGACGACGGGUAGCCGGCCUGAGAGGGCGACCGGCCACACUGGGACUGAGACACGGCCCAGACUCCUACGGGAGGCAGCAGUGGGGAAUCUUGCGCAAUGGGCGAAAGCCUGACGCAGCGACGCCGCGUGAGGGAUGACGGCCU
rnacentral:rRNA from 1 species